AGAGUUUGAUCCUGGCUCAGAGCGAACGCUGGCGGCGUGCCUAACACAUGCAAGUCGAGCGAGAAAGGGGUGGCAACACCCUGAGUAAAGCGGCGGACGGGUGAGUAACGCGUGGGUAAUCUACCCUCUAGUCUGGGAUAACCUUCCGAAAGGGGGGCUAAUACCGGGUCAUGUCCCUUUGGGGCAUCACAAGGGGAGCAAAGGGGGCGCCCGCAAGGGGCUCUCGCUGGAGGAGGAGCCUGCGUCCGAUUAGCUAGUUGGUGGGGUAAUGGCCCACCAAGGCGACGAUCGGUAGCCGGCCUGAGAGGGCGAUCGGCCACACUGGGACUGAGAUACGGCCCAGACUCCUACGGGAGGCAUCAGUGGGGAAUCUUGCGCAAUGGGCGAAAGCCUGACGCAGCGACGCCGCGUGGGGGACGAAGGCCUUCCGGUUGUAAACCCCUGUCAGGCGGAACGAAUCCCCCGAGGACGAAUACUCCUCGGGGUUGACGGUACCGCCAGAUGAAGCCCCGGUUAACUACGUGCCAGCAGCCGCGGGAAUACGUAGGGGGCUAGCGUUGCUCGGAUUUUCUGGGCGUAAAGAGCGCGUACGCGGCCAGGUAAGUCUGAUGUGAAAGCCCUCUGCUCAACCGACGAUCCGCAUUUGAAA
rnacentral:rRNA from 1 species